GCGCUGGAAACGGCGUCUAAUACCGGAUACGAGCUGCGAAGGCAUCUUCAGCAGCUGGAAAGAAUUUCGGUCAGGGAUGAGCUCGCGGCCUAUCAGCUAGUUGGUGAGGUAAUGGCUCACCAAGGCGUCGACGGGUAGCCGGCCUGAGAGGGUGACCGGCCACACUGGGACUGAGACACGGCCCAGACUCCUACGGGAGGCAGCAGUGGGGAAUAUUGCACAAUGGGCGCAAGCCUGAUGCAGCAACGCCGCGUGAGGGACGACGGCCUUCGGGUUGUAAACCUCUUUUAGCAGGGAAGAAGCGAAAGUGACGGUACCUGCAGAAAAAGCGCCGGCUAACUACGUGCCAGCAGCCGCGGUAAUACGUAGGGCGCAAGCGUUAUCCGGAAUUAUUGGGCGUAAAGAGCUCGUAGGCGGUUUGUCGCGUCUGCUGUGAAAACCCGAGGCUCAACCUCGGGCCUGCAGUGGGUACGGGCAGACUAGAGUGCGGUAGGGGAGAUUGGAAUUCCUGGUGUAGCGGUGGAAUGCGCAGAUAUCAGGAGGAACACCGAUGGCGAAGGCAGAUCUCUGGGCCGUAACUGACGCUGAGGAGCGAAAGGGUGGGGAGCAAACAGGCUUAGAUACCCUGGUAGUCCACCCCGUAAACGUUGGGAACUAGUUGUGGGGUCCAUUCCACGGAUUCCGUGACGCAGCUAACGCAUUAAGUUCCCCGCCUGGGGAGUACGGCCGCAAGGCUAAAACUCAAAGGAAUUGACGGGGACCCGCACAAGCGGCGGAGCAUGCGGAUUAAUUCGAUGCAACGCGAAGAACCUUACCAAGGCUUGACAUAUACGAGAACGCUGCAGAAAUGUAGAACUCUUUGGACACUCGUAAACAGGUGGUGCAUGGUUGUCGUCAGCUCGUGUCGUGAGAUGUUGGGUUAAGUCCCGCAACGAGCGCAACCCUCGUUCUAUGUUGCCAGCACGUAAUGGUGGGAACUCAUGGGAUACUGCCGGGGUCAACUCGGAGGAAGGUGGGGAUGACGUCAAAUCAUCAUGCCCCUUAUGUCUUGGGCUUCACGCAUGCUACAAUGGCCGGUACAAAGGGCUGCAAUACCGUAAGGUGGAGCGAAUCCCAAAAAGCCGGUCCCAGUUCGGAUUGAGGUCUGCAACUCGACCUCAUGAAGUCGGAGUCGCUAGUAAUCGCAGAUCAGC
rnacentral:rRNA from 1 species